rnacentral:rRNA from 1 species
UACGGAGGGUGCAAGCGUUGUCCGGAUUUAUUGGGCGUAAAGAGCUCGUAGGCGGCUUGUCACGUCGAUUGUGAAAGCCCGAGGCUUAACCUCGGGUCUGCAGUCGAUACGGGCUAGCUAGAGUGUGGUAGGGGAGAUCGGAAUUCCUGGUGUAGCGGUGAAAUGCGCAGAUAUCAGGAGGAACACCGGUGGCGAAGGCGGAUCUCUGGGCCAUUACUGACGCUGAGGAGCGAAAGCGUGGGGAGCGAACAGG